UUCAACUACGUCAAGCCUGAUGUCAAGUCAUUUAAAGCAACCUCCGCAAAAAAUCAACAUGAUAAAAAUUCGCCAUGCUUCAACAACUUUACUGAAAUAAUAAUUCACGCCUGGACUAUUGUUCAAUUGUAAAUCAUUCGGAUUUGGCCGUGCUGCUUGUCCCGAUUUGUUUGUUACUCAUAAAACUACCGGACUCUGGAGACCAAGGCCAAUCUGCAUAAAAUGUACAGAAAGCCUAGUCGUGGUGACAAUAACGAUAUGCAUAUAAUACUUGUUGAGAAGGAGGUGAUCUGUUAUGAUAUUAUGUUCGUGCAUUUCGAGUUCCCAUGCAGGAUGCUACAACAUCACUCUACAGACAACCGGGAAGAACCACCGUUUUUCGGAGUCAGGCGAGGAGCAAUGGAACUGGAACACACCGAUACAUACCAACAUAUAAAAUAAUUAAGCACAUCGAAAACAUAUUGGAAAUCAUUUUCAAUUGAUAACAUUUACGUAG